rnacentral:lncRNA from 1 species
GUGCCCAGGACCCGGAGCAGCUGCAACAGGGCGUCCCUCCCUGUCCAAGGGUUUCCACUUCUGAGCGCAAAAGGGAAGAACUUAAGCGGGCGGCCAGUUGGAGUGUACAUUGCUCGGUAGUGUUUAAAAGCAGCACGGAUCGCGGGCAGCUGAGCCGUUUUGUCAGACUACCUGUGCAUGUCUUUACAUGAAAUCCUCCAUGGCACCCAACCCAAGGGAAAAGCAACAAACCAAAUGGACUUCAUGUGAAAUUAUUGACUACUCUGUGCCUCUCAGCCUCAAUUAGCCCCUAAUUCUAGGCACCUGGAAGCCAAAGCAAACCAUAAGGAGCCACAAGCACUACCCCGAUGCAGCAUCUCUGGAAGGAAGUUUCACAUGCCACCUGGCAACCACCAUGUUACCUUCUGUUUCUAUGAGUCUGCCUACUUCAGAUAUUUAUGUAAGUAGAAUCAUGCAGUAUUUAUCUGUAUGCGACUGGCUUGUUUCACGAUCAGAAUGUCCUCAAGUUUCAUCUACGCUGUAGCUUAUAUCAGAAUAACCUUUCUUUCUAAAGCUAAAUAAUAUUUCAUCAUGUGUAUAUACCACAUUUUGCUUAUAUAUUCAUCUGUCAGUAGACACUUGGGUUGCUUCCACGUUUUAGCUAUUAUGAAUAAUGCUGCUAUAAACAUGACUACCAAUAUCUCUUUAAGACUCUGCUUCUAGAAUUGCCGAAUCAUUUUCCAUUUUAAUUUUUUUAAUUUUUUAAUUUUUUUUCAUUUAAAAUUUUUUAAAGAACCAACAUACUGUUUUCUACAGUGGCUUUGCUAUUUCCAUUCCUAUCAACAGUGCACAGGGGUUCCAACUUCACAUCAUCACCAAUACAUCUUUUCUUUUCUCUCUCUGUCUCUUUCUCUCUUUUUUAUGGAUUAGUAACCAUUCUAAUGGGUCUGAGGUAGGAUCUCGUUAUAGUUUUGAUUUCUAUUUCCCUAAUAUUAGUGAUGUUGAAUAUCCUUUCAUGUGCUUAUUGGCCAUUUGUUGUAUAUUUUCUUUGAGAAAUAUCCAAGCCCUUUGUCAAUUUUUUAAAUUGAGUUGUUUGUUCUUUUUUGUUGUUGAUUUUUAGAAAUUUUCUAUAUAUUCUGUAUAUUAAUCCCUUAUCAGAUAUAUAGUUCACAAAUAUUUUCUCUGAUUCUUUGGUUUUCAUUUUUAUUCUGUUGGUAGUGUCUUCUGUUGUGUAAUUUUUUUUUUAAUUUUCAUAAGGUACAAUUUUUUUUUUCAUUUGUUUCCUGUGCCUCUGGUGUUAAGAAACUA